rnacentral:rRNA from 1 species
UACGUAGGGGGGCAAGCGUUGUCCGGAUUUAUUGGGCGUAAAGAGCGUGUAGGCGGCCUGACAGGUCUGCUGUGAAAACUCGAGGCUCAACCUCGAGAUGUCGGCGGAAACCGUCUGGCUAGAGUCCGGAAGAGGAGAGUGGAAUUCCUGGUGUAGCGGUGAAAUGCGCAGAUAUCAGGAAGAACACCAAUGGCGAAGGCAGCUCUCUGGGACGGUACUGACGCUGAGACGCGAAAGCGUGGGAGCGAACAGG